GGCCGCGUAGCUCAGUUGGUUAGAGCGCCGCCCUGUCACGGCGGAGGUCACCGGUUCAAGUCCGGCCGUGGUCGCCA
rnacentral:tRNA from 9 species